CCUACGGGAGGCAACAGUGGGGAAUAUUGGGCAAUGGAGGCAACUCUGACCCAGCAACGCCGCGUGAAUGAUGAAGGUCUUCGGAUUGUAAAGUUCUGUGAUGGGGGAUGAACACAAUGACGGUACCCCAAUAGCAAGCCACGGCCAACUACGUGCCAGCAGCCGCGGUAAUACGUAGGUGGCAAGCGUUAUCCGGAAUGACUGGGCGUAAAGGGUGCGUAGGUGGUUUAGUAAGUUGGCGGUGUAAUUCCGGGGCUCAACCUCGGCGCUACCGCCAAAACUAUUAGACUAGAGUGCAGGAGAGGUGAGUGGAAUUCCUAGUGUAGCGGUGGAAUGCGUAGAGAUUAGGAGGAACAUCAGGGGCGAAGGCGACUUACUGGACUGUAACUGACACUGAGGCACGAAAGCGUGGGGAGCAAACAGGAUUAGAUACCCCUGUAGUC
rnacentral:rRNA from 1 species